rnacentral:rRNA from 1 species
AUUGAACGCUGGCGGCAGGCUUAACACAUGCAAGUCGAGCGGCUGAAGGGUGCUUGUUCCUCGAUUCAGCGGCGGACGGGUGCGUAAUGCUUAGGAAUCUGACUGGUCGUGGGGGUUAACGUUAGGCAAUGGGCGCUAUUACUGCUAACGCCUAGAGGGUGAAAGUGGGGGAUCUUCGGACCUCAAGCUAUCAGUUGUGCCUAGGCCGGAUUAGCUAGUUGGUGGGGUAAAGGCCUACCAAGGCGGCGAUCCGUAACUGGUCUGAGAGGAUGAUCAGUCACACUGGAACUGAGACACGGUCCAGACUCCUACGGGAGGCAGCAGUGGGGAAUUUUGGACAAUGGGCGAAAGCCUGAUCCAGCCAUGCCGCGUGUGUGAAGAAGGUCUUCGGAUUGUAAAGCACUUUAGGUAGGGAAGAAAAGCAGUAAGUUAAUACCUUGCUGUUUUGACGUUACCAACAGAAUAAGCACCGGCUAACUACGUG